GACGAACCAAGCAAACGUUGUUCGGAAUCACUGGGCAUAAAGGGCGCGUAGGCGGCUUGACAAGUCAGGGGUGAAAUCCGGCAGCUUAACUGUCGCAGUGCCUUUGAUACUGUCGAGCUCGAGGGAGGUAGGGGUCUGUGGAACUUCCGGUGGAGCGGUGAAAUGCGUUGAUAUCGGAAGGAACGCCGGUGGCGAAAGCGACGGGCUGGAUCUCUUCUGACGCUGAGGCGCGAAAGCUAGGGUAGCGAACGGG
rnacentral:rRNA from 1 species